AGAGGUGAAGCUCAGUGGUAGAGCACUUGCCUAGUAGGUGUGAGGUCUUGGGUUCAACCCCAGCAUAUCUC
rnacentral:tRNA from 1 species